AGUUCUAUCGGAAAGCUGAUUCAGUUCAGUCUGUUAUGGGCAAGGGACUAAAUCGGUCGUCAGUUAUUUGUUCAUAAAUGGGAUAACAGUACUAAUUUAGUGUCAUUUAGGCAACAACGGUCCACAUUUAUUUUAAAUUUUUUUGUGGAUUCUCAUUUUGUGUGCUUUUUGAUGUUUAACGCAGUUUGCAAAAAGCUGGUGGUACAAAGCAGCUUUAGGAUCAACUUUUUCCCUCUCUGGGGUUGUCAUCACUUUGUCGCUAGUGAGAGGUUUUGAAUCUAAAACUAACGUGACCCAGAUUGGGCGGCAGCAAACAUGGCCACUUCUCCAUGUUGGGAGCGGCUGAUCUAAGCAUUCGCCAACACGAUCCAAAUUGAUUGGUAAAUAUUUAAAAAAAACACAUAGCGACAACAUGCUG